GCGCUGCCCCGGCGCGUCCGCGGGCUUGGCGCGGGCCGGGCCGUGCUUUCCCCAAAUGCGGGAAACUCGACUGCAUAAUUUGUGGUAGUGGGGGACUGCGUUCGCGCUCUCCCCUG